rnacentral:rRNA from 1 species
AUGGGUCAUGUUCAUGUUUCUGUCAUUGCAGCUGACGAAGGGAGGUAUAGGAACGAAAAGCAAGCUAUCAGCACUAACAUUCUAGGUGUUGUUGACUGGAACAUGAAUUUUCUUUAUGUUUUACCUAGCUGGGAGGGAUCUACAUCCGAAUCCCAAGUGUUGCGUGAUGCAAUGAGAAACGAUCAUCAAGAUGCAUUUGUUAUACCUCAUGGAAAAUACUACUUAGUGGAUGCUGGAUACACCAAUGGACCUAGCUUUCUGGCUCCCUUUAGAUCGACUAGGUACUCAUACGUCUCCGUCGUAUCUAUAAUUUUUUAUUGUUCCAUGCCAAUAUUAUUCAACUUUCAUAUAUUUUUUGGCAACUUUUUAUACUAUUUUUGGAAACUAACAUAUUGA